rnacentral:rRNA from 1 species
ACGGCGGCCGUAACUAUAACGGUCCUAAGGUAGCGAAAUUCCUUGUCGGUUAAAUACCGACCUGCAUGAAUGGCGUAACGAGAUGGGAGCUGUCUCAACCAGAGAUUCAGUGAAAUUGUAGUGGAGGUGAAAAUUCCUCCUACCCGCGGCAAGACGGAAAGACCCCGUGGACCUUUACUACAACUUAGCACUGCUAAUGGGAAUAUCAUGCGCAGGAUAGGUGGGAGGCUUUGAAGUAGGGGCUUUGACUCUUAUGGAGCCUCCCUUGAGAUACCACCCUUGAUGUUUCUGUUAGCUAACUGGCCUGUGUUAUCCACAGGCAGGA